UACCCGCUGAACUUAAGCAUAUCAAUAAGCGGAGGAAAAGAAACCAACAGGGAUUGCCUCAGUAACGGCGAGUGAAGCGGCAAAAGCUCAUCUUUAAAAGCUUCGGCAUUGUAACGGUGGCGGAGGGGGUGGAUCGCAAAAGUCCAUUGGAACAUGGCGCCAUCGAGGGUGACAGCCCCGUCAAGAUACGCCCCCACCCCUCCACCAAUAGAGUCGAGUUGUUUGGGAAUGCAACUCUAACAAGGUGGUAAACUCCAUCUAAGGCUAAAUAUCGACGAGAGACCGAUAGCGAACAAGUACAGUGAUGAAAGAUGAAAAGCACUGAAAGG
rnacentral:rRNA from 1 species